rnacentral:hammerhead_ribozyme from 1 species
AUCCAGCUGACGAGUCCCAAACAGGACGAAACGCGCGUUCUGAAU